rnacentral:rRNA from 1 species
AACGAACGCUGGCGGCAUGCCUAACACAUGCAAGUCGAACGAGACCUUCGGGUCUAGUGGCGCACGGGUGCGUAACGCGUGGGAAACCUGCCUUUAGGUUCGGAAUAACUCAGAGAAAUUUGAGCUAAUACCGGAUAAUGUCUUCGGACCAAAGAUUUAUCGCCUUUAGAUGGGCCCGCGUUGGAUUAGCUAGUUGGUGGGUAAAGGCCUACCAAGGCGACGAUCCAUAGCUGGUCUGAGAGGAUGAUCAGCCACACUGGGACUGAGACACGGCCCAGACUCCUACGGGAGGCAGCAGUGGGGAAUAUUGGACAAUGGGCGAAAGCCUGAUCCAGCAAUGCCGCGUGAGUGAUGAAGGCC